rnacentral:rRNA from 1 species
GCGGAGCGUCGUUUGCGACGCCCAACACACAAAACAAGCGGUGAAUGCUUUGGGGUGGGGUGACUGCGUACCUUUUGUAUAAUGGGUCAGCGACUUAUAUUCUGUAGCAAGGUUAACCGAAUAGGGGAGCCGGAGGGAAACCGAGUCUUAAUUGGGCGUUAAGUUGCAGGGUAUAGACCCGAAACCCGGUGAUCUAGCCAUGGGCAGGUUGAAGGUUGGGUAACACUAACUGGAGGACCGAACCGACUAAUGUUGAAAAAUUAGCGGAUGACCUGUGGCUGGGGGUGAAAGGCCAAUCAAACCGGGAGAUAGCUGGUUCUCCCCGAAAGCUAUUUAGGUAGCGCCUCGUGAAUUCAUCUCCGGGGGUAGAGCACUGUUUCGGCUAGGGGGCCAUCCCGGCUUACCAACCCGAUGCAAACUGCGAAUACCGGAGAAUGUUAUCACGGGAGACACACGGCGGGUGCUAACGUCCGUCGUGAAGAGGGAAACAACCCAGACCGCCAGCUAAGGUCCCAAAGUCAUGGUUAAGUGGGAAACGAUGUGGGAAGGCCCAGACAGCCAGGAUGUUGGCUUAGAAGCAGCCAUCAUUUAAAGAAAGCGUAAUAGCUCACUGGUCGAGUCGGCCUGCGCGGAAGAUGUAACGGGGCUAAACCAUGCACCGAAGCUGCGGCAGCGAACGUAUCACCCAAGACAACUUUACGGAGUUGACGAUUGACGGAGCGAAGCGACGUCAAAGCGUUCAUUAAAGUCGAGUUGGCUUAGGGAUACGUUCGUUGGGUAGGGGAGCGUUCUGUAAGCCUGUGAAGGUGUGUCGUGAGGCAUGCUGGAGGUAUCAGAAGUGCGAAUGCUGACAUAAGUAACGAUAAAGCGGGUGAAAAGCCCGCUCGCCGGAAGACCAAGGGUUCCUGUCCAACGUUAAUCGGGGCAGGGUGAGUCGACCCCUAAGGCGAGGCCGAAAGGCGUAGUCGAUGGGAAACGGGUUAAUAUUCCCGUACUUGGUGUUACUGCGAAGGGGGGACGGAGAAGGCUAUGUUGGCCGGGCGACGGUUGUCCCGGUUUAAGCGUGUAGGUGUGUGUUCCAGGUAAAUCCGGUUCACUUUAACACUGAGGCGUGACGACGAGGCACUACGGUGCUGAAGCAACAAAUGCCCUGCUUCCAGGAAAA